GAUGAACGCUGGCGGCGUGCCUAAUACAUGCAAGUCGAGCGAACGGACGAGAAGCUUUCUUCUCUGAUGUUAGCGGCUGACGGGUGAGUAACACGUGGAUAACCUACCUAUAAGACUUGGAUAACUUCGGGAAACCGGAGCUAAUACCGGAUAAUAUUUUGAACCGCAUGGUUCAAAAGUGAAAGACGGUCUUUCUGUCACUUAUAGAUGGAUCCGCGCUGCAUUAGCUAGUUGGUAAGGUAACGGCUUACCAAGGCAACGAUGCAUAGCCGACCUGAGAGGGUGAUCGGCAACACUGGAACUGAGACACGGUCCAGACUCCUACGGGAGGCAGCAGUAGGGAAUAUUCCGCAAUGGGCGAAAGACUGACGGAGCAACGCCGCGUGAGUGAUGAAGGUCUUCGGAUCGUAAAACUCUGUUAUUAGGGAAGAACAUAUGUGUAAGUAACUGUGCACAUCUUGACGGUACCUAAUCAGAAAGCCACGGCUAACUACGUG
rnacentral:rRNA from 1 species